rnacentral:rRNA from 1 species
AACCAACCGGGAUUGCCUUAGUAACGGCGAGUGAAGCGGCAAAAGCUCAAAUUUGAAAUCUGGCGUCUUCGACGUCCGAGUUGUAAUUUGAAGAAGGCGACUUUGUAGCUGGUCCUUGUCUAUGUUCCUUGGAACAGGACGUCAUAGAGGGUGAGAAUCCCGUGUGGCGAGGAUCCCAGUUAUUUGUAAAGUGCUUUCGACGAGUCGAGUUGUUUGGGAAUGCAGCUCUAAGUGGGUGGUAAAUUCCAUCUAAAGCUAAAUAUUGGCGAGAGACCGAUAGCGAACAAGUACAGUGAUGGAAAGAUGAAAAGAACUUUGAAAAGAGAGUGAAAAAGUACGUGAAAUUGUUGAAAGGGAAGGGCAUUUGAUCAGACAUGGCGUUUGCUUCGGCUUUCGCUGGGCCAGCAUCAGUUUUAGCGGUUGGAUAAAUCCUCGGGAAUGUGGCUCUGCUUCGGUAGAGUGUUAUAGCCCGUGGGAAUACAGCCAGCUGGGACUGAGGAUUGCGACUUUUGUCAAGGAUGCUGGCGUAAUGGUUAAAUGCCGCCCGUCUUGAAACACGGACCUCCUGUGUGAAGG